UACGGAGGGUGCGAGCGUUACCCGGAUUUACUGGGUGUAAAGGGCGUGUAGGCGGUCUCUCAAGUCCGAUGCUAAAGACCGAAGCUCAACUUCGGGGGUGCGUUGGAUACUGUGAGGCUAGACGGUCGGAGAGGGUAGCGGAAUUUCCGGAGUAGCGGUGAAAUGCGCAGAUACCGGAAGGAACGCCAAUAGCGAAAGCAGCUACCUGGACGAUUUGUGACGCUGAGGCGCGAAAGCGUGGGGAGCAAACCGG
rnacentral:rRNA from 2 species